ensembl:snoRNA Gm23598 predicted gene, 23598
ACCCCCUCACAAUGGGCAAAGAGACACCUUGGUGGGGGUGGUGUUCUUAUAUCAGUCAGGGGCAGAGCAGAUGGCAGUCCCUUGUUCAUCCUAGCUUGAUGCCUGGCUUGAUAGCCAAAGCUGUCUCAUGCCUAGGACUCAUAA